AGUCUACUACAGCACAGCCAUUUUAGGGCUGCAGCUAGUGCUGCCUUGCUGCCUUCCUCCAGCUGCGAUAAUGUCUGCAACAUCUGUGUGCUGGACAGAAACUAAGAUUCCUAGAUGUGUCUUGGGUGCACCGUUCCUUCACCGCAGCACAAUGACAUGCAGGAAACAAAGUAGGUAGCAAUGCCGACAAUUUAAAUGCAGCAGUCACAGACUCUCUGACUUCUCCAUUCAGUGUCUCCCUGGGAAAGAUUGCUUUGGGUUAACUGAAAUGGACUUAAUUCUUCUUCUUCUGAAUAAAAAAAUCAUCACAAGCAGAAGUCACUUCUGGUCAAACCAGUGUGUCUUUCAUUUCUUGUUAUCUGAACCUUUAUUCAUUUUUAUAAAAAGAAAAAGUGACAUUUCAAAUUAAACCCCAUUUUCCUGUUUAACUUAUUUGAAAACCUGGGGGAAGAAGUUUGACUUGUAGAAGUUGUUGUUCUCAGUUCUUUCAAUGUACAGAUCCAAGUUUGACAUGCAAUAUCAAACCCUGUUGAUCUGAAAUAAAUUGAUAAAUAAAAUAGUUGUCAAGAAU